GGGCCCGCGGUGCAUUAGCUAGUUGGUGAGGUAACGGCUCACCAAGGCAACGAUGCAUAGCCGACCUGAGAGGGUGAUCGGCCACACUGGGACUGAGACACGGCCCAGACUCCUACGGGAGGCAGCAGUAGGGAAUCUUCCGCAAUGGACGAAAGUCUGACGGAGCAACGCCGCGUGAGUGAUGAAGGCUUUCGGGUCGUAAAACUCUGUUGUUAGGGAAGAACAAGUACGAGAGUAACUGCUCGUACCUUGACGGUACCUAACCAGAAAGCCACGGCUAACUACGUGCCAGCAGCCGCGGUAAUACGUAGGUGGCAAGCGUUAUCCGGAAUUAUUGGGCGUAAAGCGCGCGCAGGCGGUUUCUUAAGUCUGAUGUGAAAGCCCACGGCUCAACCGUGGAGGGUCAUUGGAAACUGGGGAACUUGAGUGCAGAAGAGAAAAGCGGAAUUCCACGUGUAGCGGUGAAAUGCGUAGAGAUGUGGAGGAACACCAGUGGCGAAGGCGGCUUUUUGGUCUGUAACUGACGCUGAGGCNNNNNNNNGUGGGGAGCAAACAGGAUUAGAUACCCUGGUAGUCCACGCCGUAAACGAUAAGUGCUAAGUGUUAGAGGGUUUC
rnacentral:rRNA from 2 species